CUGCAGGCCAUCUGGCAAGGCCCAUACCAGGUGGUGGAACAGAGAUGUGACACCACCUAUGUGAUUGGCCCCUGCUCAGGGACAGGGAAGAGACGCAUGCUCCACGUGAAUAUGCUCAAACCCUACCAUGAGAGGAUAGAGGAUGUGGCGGCGAUAUGCGCUUCAGCCUCUGAGGAUCAGGAGAAUCUUCCGCUACCUGACUUAUUAGAGCGGGAAGAUCAGGCAGAGGCCUCUACAGGUGUUCAGCUGGGGGAGCGGCUAAGUCCUCAGGAGCAUGCCCAGGUACAGGAGUUAAUCAUGGCUAAGGGAGCCACUUUCUCCAAUUUACCAGGGUACAACCCGCUAGCUACUCACCGAGUUGAGACCCCCGGACAGCUACCUAUGCGGCAGACCCCAUACCGUAUCCCGGAAGCGGUCAGGGAACAUAUGAGGAAGGAAAUUGAGGAAAUGUUGCAGCUAGGGGU